AAAAAUAAACGCAAACGAAAAUUACGCACUAGCUGCUUAAUUGCAGCUACGCCAAUCUAGAGAUUGCCCACGUCUUUAGUGCGGCGUCGUUUAGUGGGCUUACCUUACCCCCACGCCCAUAAGGGUUUAGGGAAAGCAAUGGGCUAGCGGUCAAUCAUCCUGCCUGCGGGGAUGUUGGUCGCGAAAUUAUACCGCAGGAUACGCUCGUAGAUGCUCCUGUGGAAAUGCUUCAGGACGUGGGUUCGAUUCCCACCGCCUCCACCA
rnacentral:tmRNA from 1 species